CCUUGCUCUUUGCUUUUUCGACAUUUCAGUUUAAAAUGUUUGGUAAAGUCAGUAGAGAUCAUUAGACAAAAAUAUUGUUUUAAUAUUGUUUUGGUUAAUUUUUACAUUUUGUGCAUAUUUUUGCGGGAGAGGAUGGUAUGCAACCGAAUAAAUGAUUUUUCAAAGUUUAAUUUUUUGUUUUUUGGUAUUGUUUUUGAUAUUGUUCAGGUUGUAUUGUUGUAUAUAGAUCUGUGCUUACUGUUGCAAGCCUUACUUUUCGACAUUUCAAAUUAAAAUAUUGAAGGUUUUCAACAUAAUCACAUAAUAAGAUGUGUUGUGACUGUCAAUGUUGUAACUUUCUACUAACUAGAUUUUACACCUUGGACGCUGUUGUUUUUCAUAUUUUCUUUUCUCAGAGUUUGUUCUUUUACGCAUGUGCAUUUUUUAAAUUGUUAUCUUUAAGAAUACUUCUGCGUCAAACUUGCGAACGCAGAAUGAUAUUUAAAAAUCCUUUUUUGUUAAAACAUCGAGGGUAGAGAAUUUUAAUUUGGAAAGUACUUUUUAAAGCCUAUAUAUAAUGUGUUUGUCAAUUGUAUUCUUAGUAAGUAUCACAGAAGACGUGUUGAAUGCGUGGAAAAGCGAGGAGGAUGAAGUGGUAACAAAACAGCCUUCAAAUGCGAAAGAUAUUGAUUGGACUCAGUGCUACUAUCGAAAGCGAAAGAAAAGCGCCUGUCAAUGAUGAGUGAAAAGCUAUCGAGCUUGCCAAAUUUCUAAAGCAGAAAGGAUUGAUAUCACUCUCAAAAGUCUUGAAAAGAAGCAUAACAUUCUUGCACGUUGGACCGUUAGCACUCCUGAAUACCCAUUCGAACAUAAAAACGCCUUGAAAUUAUCACAAGAUGAAGCCAUAUGCCAACUAUACCACGGUGUAUCAGAACAAAUGAUGUUGUUAGUAUUAGAAAAGCGUUUCGGAGAUACGAAUGAAAUAUUCAAUUGUCGUUAGUUCGCAUUACCAUAAUUUGAUGACUUAUUACUGACUUAACCUUCCAUUGGUAAUCGUUCAAAUUUGAUACGAGAUGGAUCUGCAAUUGCUAAUCGUCUCAGCGCCCAGAUAAAUAAAGUGUGUAGAGAAGUAAAGAAUCAGCUGGACGGAUUAAAUGACACUCGGAAGGAGUUACACGAGAGCUAUUCUUACCUCAAUACAGUGAAAUAUUGGAUCAAGCUAGGGCCCGACCUCUAACGGCGAAAACUUGUACAUAUAUUUUAUUUUCGGACGGUCUCUAUCUAUCAUAUAUCCAGAGCUCGGGUAAUUUACCCUUGCCAAUAAAAAUAAUAAAAAAAAAGAUCAAGUGUAGUAUCUGUUCUUAUCAGUUUAAUAUCUGGUAGGCCAUUCCCUGAAUGGUCAGUAUAUUAAUCUGAUUUUUGGCCUUGAGUCAUGGAGGUGGAUUCA